ensembl:lincRNA Gm28694 predicted gene 28694
GAAGCAAGCCAGUAAGCAGCACCCCUCCAUGGCUUCUGCAUCAGCUCCUGCCUCCAAGUUCCUGCCCUGGGAAUGGAAUCACAAUGAGAAGUGAUGAAUAGAGACUGACCUGGCAGAGCUGCUGGCUCUGAGAGGGUGUGGCCUCUGCAGCUAGAGUAAGAAGAGUUCCCUGUAAGCCAGAGACUUGGUUCAGCAGUUAAGAGUGAUCCUGUUCUUCCAGAGGACUUGAUGGUUCCUAGCGCCUGCAUCAGGUGGCUCACAGGCAAAGCACAGGAAUUCAAGAAAGGGAAAAGAAGAAAACAAGCAAGAAAAGACAUAUUUUAAGCAGCCAUAUCAUUCUUCCUUACCUCCAAACAUUUGCUCAAACAUGGCUUUCUCGGAGACCUUUUCAUGACGUCUGCAUUGAAAUUGUUGCUCACGGGCUGGGGGUGCUGGUGAGGAUGCUUGCCCCAGUGCCAACAGCACCAACAAUCAACAGAUAACUAAAAUAAUUGCUGCUCAUCGCUCAUCCAUCUCCACACGUGAGCACUGGGCAUUCCCUAUCUCCAGCACCUCCAGAUGUUUGAGCCACCAUUUGAUCUAUCUCUGUACACUGUGUCUCUCUCUUCAAGUUGUUCAACCCAGUGAGAACAAGAGUUCUUCCCAUUUUAUCCAAGGUUCUAACCUAACAGCUACACUGUCAGCCUUGAUAAAUGUUUGUUGAAUAAAUUGAACACAAAUACGAUU